AUUUUUAGAUCCGGGCUUAGAGAUUUUAGGUUUCAGGGAGGGAAAAUAUUUGGAGAAAGAGAAAGAAAAGAGGGGGAAAUGGAGGAAAGAGAGAAAGUAUGGAGAAAGAGCAGGGAUAAAAGGAAUUGACACUGUUAUUACAAAUUAAAAAUUGUCAGGACUAUUAAAGAUGUGAGACUUAGGUUGUUGAACUUGGAUUUGCUUAGCUCGGUUAAUUUGUUUGGGACUUAGCAGGAGUCAGUAUACUCAUUUUGUGGAGUAAUAUAGGAAGCAGUUAGGUGAACAAGGAGAAAAUGUCACCCAGUUUCCGAGAAGAGUUGUGAAAUGUAGGUAGAAUUUUGCUUAAUUGUUUAUUUUGUUUUAAACUAUUUCUUAUUCUGGGCGAAAUUGAUGUAAUAACUGUGAAAACUGGAGAAUCUUGAGCAGUAAUCACCUCAUUAAAGGUGAUAUUUGAAGCUUUAAACUAGUCGAAAAUGGAAGUGACACAAGAAGGAGCAAUUCUGUAGACCCAAACAUUACCUUCUCGUUUGUCUAGCCUGGUAGAUCUCUGGUAUGCUCUUUUCCUGCUCACCACCAGUUCCCUCAAAUCCUCAAUGACUUCUCUGUUUAAGUUCCAGUUAUUAUGACGCAUUGUCCCAACAUUUUGUUCAAUGAAACUCUGGUCAAUUACAUCCAUAUCUAAAUAGUUGAAUCUUUGUUCAGGAGUAUGUCUAUUUGCAUAUGGACUGGAAGUCUCCAAAAUUCCGGAACUACUUGCUCUUGGAGAACCUUGCCUGGGACUUUGAGAGGCGUUGAAACUGUUAAUUAGGACCUUAGAAGGGUAAAUAAGAGAUAAUGCGCUAUCAUUUCUUGGUUUUGAUUCUUGUGAAGCUCUAUUCUCAGAAUUAGGGUGAUUUUCCGUAUCCGAUUUUAAUCCUGUUGUUCCUAUUUUCUGAUUGGAAGAGAAGUUGAUUUCAUCCCCAUAGACGGCCAUGUUUGAUGUAGAAACUGUCUUCUUCAAGCCACUGGUUAGUUCCACAUCAGAAGCUCUAUAUUGGUCAAGAUCGUUGAUUUGAGAUUUCAUUCUCUUACUAAAGCUCCCAAUAGUCCCGUAAUGCAAUCCAAAAACGUUGCAGCCGAGAGCUUUCCUACCCUGAAUGAUUUCACUCCACUUUAGAGCACCAUCUUGGCUAUCUCCAUACAUAGUAAUUAAAUUACAGUAUUGCCUUAACAUUGGGAAAGCUUUGUUAAUAAAGUCAUCCAAGUAAUAAUCAGGAUUCAAGAAAGUCAUUGAAACUAUUUGAACCUUUUCAUUAAUAAUUGGAUUAAUCUCGUCUCCGAACUGAGUCUCAGAAUGACGAAGACCCAAAUAAUUUCCAGGAUCAAUGCUUGAUCUAUGAUCAUGCUGUUCACAUCUUUCAAGUAAAUUCUCUGAUAAAAGCUUAGGGAACGACUGGAUGAAUAAUCUAGUUCCCAUUGAAUGAGUCAUAAUGUGGAUAUGUCGAAUUCCUCUAUUCUUUAACCCUAAUAUGAGUUGGUAAAGUGAAUUAUGAGUGUGAGGACUUUCUGCACUCUUUCUAGCCUUGAAAUACUCUAAGAAGGAAUUUCCUGAUGGCCAAGAAAAUACCAUAGGUUUUAUAUACGAGGGAAAGUUUCCAAAAGCAAUCAUCUGUCCAACUUGCCUUAAAGCAUCCAUUAUUGUGUUAUUAUACCCAUGAAUAAAUAUCAGCGCCUCAGCCGCAUGAAGUCCAUCGCUAUGAAUCCAAUUCUUGACUUCCAACUCUGGGUAGUAUACGGUAUUAUCCUGGUUUUCAUCUAAAGCAUCUUUUGAGAAGACGGAAUCAUUGCAAUAUCUAUCAACUACCCUAACUUCAACAGACUCCAAGUACCUAUUAUCUUGAGGCCUAUUUAGAGGAUACUGAGAAGCUUUGAUAAUGGAGGAGCUCGAAAAUGAGCUUGAGAACGGAAUAAGCCCACUAAUGGCAUCAUUCGGGCCCAAAAUUGUACUCUUUAGGUUAUUUUCGCUUAGCAAACUCUCAGGAUCCUGGUUGCUCAAAGCCAACCUCGCUCCUGUUUGUUUUGUAUAACGUAAUACUUCUGAUACUGGAAAGUAUCCGGCAAUAUACAAACCCCUUUCUGCAUCAACCAAAAUAGUGACUUCAUUCUUAGGGUGGAUUGUAAACAUCGGAAUGUGUGGGGAUAAAUUUUGGAAAACCCACAGAAGAGACAAAUCACGCUCCUUGUCCUGUCUGUUUUGGUUCCUUCUUAGCUUUUGUCUAACUUUACGGAUCAUGUGAACUCCUUUUUUCUGUAAGCUUAAAUUCAUUUCACUUUUACACAUCCCUGAUGACAGUUUGGGUUCUACUUCCUUUAAAUUUUGCUCAUUUCCUGACGGUAUAUCAAUU
rnacentral:antisense_RNA from 1 species